ACUCCUACGGGAGGCAGCAGUGGGGAAUAUUGCACAAUGGGGGAAACCCUGAUGCAGCCAUGCCGCGUGUGUGAAGAAGGCCCUUGGUUGUAAAGCACUUUCAGUAGGGAGGAAGGUAGUGUAGUUAACACCUGCAUUAUUUGUACGUUACCUACAGAAGAAGCACCGGCUAACUCCGUGCCAGCAGCCGCGGUAAGUACGGAGGGUGCGAGCGUUAAUCGGAAUUACUGGGCGUAAAGCGCAUGCAGGCGGCCUGUUAAGUCAGAUGUGAAACGCCCGGGGUCUUAACCUCGGAAUUGCAUUUGAAACUGGCAGGCUAGAGUCUUGUAGAGGGGUUAGAA
rnacentral:rRNA from 1 species